rnacentral:lncRNA from 1 species
UAGGAUUCAUUGCUCAGUACGUGCUACAGAGAAAUAAAAAAGCCCAAUAAUUUUCAUAUAUACCAACCAAUUAACAAAUGAUCAGCGCCUAGCUAUCUCUAUAUACACUGUUCCAUCUGCAGCUAGCUAGCUCUGAAUCGAUCAAUUAUUCUAUGGGUAUUAAAAGUUCUAAAUAUAAACAGCAGUGCAGCAGUUCAUCAGAGAACUUAUAUGCGAAUCACGG